GCUGGUGUAGCUCAGCGGCAGAGCAGCUGAUUCGUAAUCAGCAGGCCGUCGGUUCGAAUCCGACCACCAGCU
rnacentral:tRNA from 1 species